rnacentral:rRNA from 1 species
GUAUGGCAGGAAAUCAUUCGUAACAAGUACGUGGGAUCCAAAGCCGUUUCUCAAGUCUAUUGGAAACCUGGUGACUCACAUUUUUGGUCUGGUGUCAUGAAGGCCAAGGAAUUCAUUUUCCAAUUUGGAACUUUCUCGGUUAGGGACGGUUCCCAGGUUUGAUUCUGGGAAGACACCUGGCUAGUGACCACACCACUAAUGGUGCAAUACCCGAGCUUGUAUAGGAUUGUUAGACAUAAAUUUUUCACCAUCAAACAAGUUUUGGGGCAAGAAAACCCUGAUAUUUCUUUCAGUAGGGACCUUUUAGGACCUCGACUGACAUCUUGGAAUGAGUCACUCAUACGUCUGGAGGCUAUUCAGUUGUCAGAUGUACCGGACAUCUUUCGAUGGAAGUUGCAUCAGAAUGGCAAGUUUACAGUCAAAUCCAUGUAUGAUGCAAUGGUUCAUUAUGAUGUUCCGGUUGAUAACAGGAAAUUGUGGAAGCUUAAAAUCCCUCUAAGAGUGAAGAUAUUCCUCUAG